GGGGAUUUAGCUCAGUGGCAUAAGUACCUGUCUUGCAAGCAGGCGUCCGUGAGUUCAAUUCCCG
rnacentral:tRNA from 1 species